rnacentral:tRNA from 1 species
GGUAAGUAAUACAGUGGUGAGUACCUCGCAUUGUGGUCGGAUAUCCCCGGUUCGAAUCCGGGCUUGCACA